UAUUAUUCUAAUUGUAAUAUUUAAGGAAAUUAGAGUAGUAAUAGUUAAGUGCUUAAAACUCAAAGAAUUUGGCGGUGUUUUAGUCUUUUCAGAGGAAUCUGUUCUGUAAUCGAUAAUACACGUUAUAUUAAACUUAAUUUUGUAAGGACAGUUUGUAUACCGCCGUCAUAAGAUUAUCUUUUUAGAGUAUAAAUUUUCUAGAUAUUAGAGGAUAAUAUGUCAGGUCAAGGUGCAGUUUAUAAUUAAGAAGUAAUGGAUUACAAUAGAAUUAUUUAUAUGAAUUUUAUGCUGAAAAUCAUAGAUGAAGGUGGAUUUGAUUGUAAUAUUAUUAUAUUAUGAUAAUAUGAUUAAAGCUCUAGAACAUGUACACAUCG
rnacentral:rRNA from 1 species